UACGUAGGGGGCAAGCGUUGUCCGGAAUUAUUGGGCGUAAAGCGCGUGUAGGCGGCCAGAUAAGUCCGCUGUGAAAUCUCGAGGCUCAACUUCGAGCUGUCGGUGGAAACUGUCUGGCUAGAGUCCGGAAGAGGAGAAUGGAAUUCCUGGUGUAGCGGUGAAAUGCGCAGAUAUCAGGAAGAACACCCGUGGCGAAGGCGGUUCUCUGGGACGGUACUGACGCUGAGACGUGAAAGCGUGGGGAGCGAACAGG
rnacentral:rRNA from 1 species